CGGAUGGAAGCAUAAACCUUAGCGGCGGACGGGUGAGUAACGCGUGGGUAACCUGCCUCAUACAGGGGGAUAACAGUUAGAAAUGACUGCUAAAACCGCAUAAGCGCACAUUGUCGAGUGACAGAGUGUGAAAAACUCCGGUGGUAUGAGAUGGACCCGCGUCUGAUUAGCUAGUUGGUGAGGUAACGGCCCACCAAGGCGACGAUCAGUAGCCGGCCUGAGAGGGCGACCGGCCACAUUGGGACUGAGACACGGCCCAAACUCCUACGGGAGGCAGCAGUGGGGAAUAUUGCACAAUGGGGGAAACCCUGAUGCAGCGACGCCGCGUGAGUGAAGAAGUAUUUCGGUAUGUAAAGCUCUAUCAGCAGGGAAGAAGAAAGACGGUACCUGACUAAGAAGCCCCGGCUAACUACGUGCCAGCAGCCGCGGUAAUACGUAGGGGGCAAGCGUUAUCCGGAUUUACUGGGUGUAAAGGGAGCGUAGACGGCUGUGCAAGUCUGAAGUGAAAGCCCAGGGCUCAACCCUGGGACUGCUUUGGAAACUGUGGAGCUAGAGUGCUGGAGAGGUAAGUGGAAUUCCUAGUGUAGCGGUGAAAUGCGUAGAUAUUAGGAGGAACACCAGUGGCGAAGGCGGCUUACUGGACAGUAACUGACGUUGAGGCUCGAAAGCGUGGGUAGCAAACAGGAUUAGAUACCCUGGUAGUCCACGCCGUAAACGAUGAUCACUAGGUGUGGGUGGGUAUGGACCCAUCGGUGCCGC
rnacentral:rRNA from 1 species